rnacentral:lncRNA from 1 species
AGUUAGCCCAGGGAGGAAGGGGACAGAAUGACAGCAUGGUUAUAUCAAUGGUCCAAUUCUUGGUUCCAACCCUUGAUUGUCCUUCGAGAGCACCACCCAUUCCUUACAACACAUCUCUCCGCUUCAUUUUGGGAGUUUUGAAGUUAUUAAAGUUAUUGAUUUCUUUUCCUUACAACCAAAAUAAUCUAAAUUAAGAUUGUGGCCAAGUUUGGAUUAAAACCUGCCUCCCGGCUCCAAGACCCAUGUUUUUCUAUCAUGCUGACUGGCAGCAAAGACGUCUUCCCAUGGAUUUUUCAGAACUCUGUUCUUUAAAUGUGACCUUAGAUGCACCAGACUCAUGCCAUCCAAAGGUUGGAGGUACUGCCCAGUUUUAGCAAUGAAAGUCCCACGUCACGGGAAACCUCUGAGUCCUGGACAAAUCAAGAUGACAUUUUCUAUGCAUAUGCAAGCAUGUCACCAGGAGCAGAGCACAGAGGGACAACACAGCUUUUGCGCUUCCAGCUGGCUCCCAUCAAGAAGUUAGAAGGGAGCCUGCAAACACAUUUCCUGCUAUCAUCUCUCCACCCCAGAAUGACUUUCCCUGGUAGAGCUGGGGGAGGGGAGGCGGGCAGCAGGCCCCCCAGGAGGCCCUGGGCAGGAAUAUUAAUACUCCAACUUCCCAGCACAAGAGGAGGGAGGAGGAGCGGCCACGGCGCAGUCCGGUCCUGGGGGCCCUGGAAGGUGGUUGCUGAGCAGCCCGUGGGAGGCACGGAUCCGCCAGCUCACGGCGGCAGGGGCCGCCCAAGUCCUAAUGAAAACACCUAGCUCCUGGCAGGGCGCAGCCGACACAUCGCCCUGCCUUCUCGGCCACCUGGGAGAGGAUGGGCGCCGCACGCGGAUACCCAACCUGCCGGGUUGUGCUCGCAGUGACAUCGCUUUUCUCCCGGCAAGUGCAUCCAUCUCGCUGGGUCUGGAUAGAUAACACAAUCUCUCUGCCCACACCCCAUUUGCUGGGAGACAGCCUGGGCUUCUCCAUUUUUUAUGGGCUCACUUAGCUUGGAGGAAAUCCAGAGGUCAAAGCCGGCGCAGACGCUCCAGUCACCUUGCCCGUCCGGGCGCGCAGCCAUUCCGAAACGGGCUCACCCACGGGGCCCUAAAUUACGGCGAUUACACUGCAAUUCGCAGCGCGAUAUUACUUUGAUACACUACCUGCUGCAGCUUGGCCCGGGAGGCGUGCAUUAUUUACCAGGGAGGCUGUCCGUACUGCGCACCAGAGCUGACAGCGCUCCGCGGGGUCCCUCCUGUCCCUACAGCCCCGCCUUCGCCCGCGGUGCGGGGUCUGGAGGCAGUGGGGCGGGGGCAGGGGGUCACUGGAGCAGCCCCGCUCUCUCGGAGUGACCGUUUCCUGAACGCAAUAUAGCCCGGAGAGGACCCAGUGGCGGAAGCGGCAGCUGGCGAUGAGGUUGGGGGUUAGUAGGUGGGAACAAGUGCUGAGCCCGCAGCUCCUCCUGGCUCUUAAGGACACCCAGACCCUCCUUAGCCGGCCUAUAAGGGCCCUUGUUGCGCGCGCGCAGGGACCCACACAGGGCCUGCCCAGGGGUGCAAGGCUGGUCCCUGGCCCCUGGCCAACUGUUAAAACGGCUAGCAGCCGGCUAACCCCACCGGCAGGCUCCAGGAUUUAGCCUGUGGCGGCUGGUGGCGGAGAUGGAGGGAACUCAGGCUACCCUCUUCCUCGGGCCCUGGAAGCUGCGUGCGCCUCAGCUGAGGCCUGAUUUCGCCGUGGCUGGGGGCUGGGGCCGGAGUUGGGCCCGGCUUCUCUCCGGCUCCCCCAUUACGGUUUGGCAUCAGCAUCUAGAUUGCAGGUUACUUCUGCUUUUAUCCAAAGCGGUCCUUAAGGGAGAUGGAGUUCUGAUUGAAAUCCAGUCAAUUGGCGCCGUGGCUCAGAGGGCCCAGCGUGAGCACACUUGUAGGGAAAUUGCCCUGGGUCUGAGAGGAGGGGCAGGGGUGGGGGAGGGAACAGGACCCGCAGGCCUGCUCUGGAGCCUGUGAACGCGCUGCUGCGAGGACUUUAGCGGAUGCGCUCAGGUCGGUAUCCGCGGGAGUCCUGGAGGGAAAUCCGCUCUCCUUCUCCAGCUCCCUGGGAUUGAUGGAACCAGAAACCUCAAGCAAGGGAUCCCCAGAGGUCACUGCGUCCAGUCUCCAGCCUCAGACAGUGUCUGGGUAGUGGAGGAGGGGCCGAGUCUGUGGGACCGAGCUGUCUGCUUUGGUGGGUGAAGGAGGGUGGACUUCUGGGGUCUGGGUUGAGAUGUGGAUUAGUUCCAGGACUAGUUCCUGUUACUCGUAGGCGGGGAGAGGUCAUGGUCCCUGCUGAACACAUCUGGCUGUGUUCAGUCCUGAACUGCCCUGGGCUCCUCAGCAGUGUGCACAGGGGUCUGGCCUCCAAAUUUCUUGUUAACAGCCCAUCAGGAGCUGGAGGAGCUGGCCUGGCCUUCAAGGUGUGGAGGGGUUCCUGGAAGGAAGCAGAUGGGCACACGGAGGAGAAGAAUGACAAAUCCAUGCUUCCCCAAUGCUGGGGAGAGAAUAUGGUGGUGGGGAGGAAGCAUGGAGACCAGAAGCAUUCCCGGGAAUGCUUCUGGAAGUAUCCCAGAAAUGUCAAGAGCUCAUUCUGCCAGCUCUUCCGGGGCCAGCAAAGAACAUACAUAUCAUUUCUCCAUCCACUUUGGGACCUGCCUGAGAUGAACAUAUGUUUUAAAAGGAAUCCCAAUUGCUGCAGGAGCAGAUGGUGCUACAGGGGCAGGCAAGGGCAGGAGAAAGGAUACUGGCUGGCAGUAGGGUAGGAGUCCUGGGCUCUGCCUCGCCCCUUCCUCUUACCAGCCGUGUGAGCUGUGUGGCUGCGGGCAAGUCACUCCCCGGCUCUGUGCUGCCCCAUUUUCCUUGUGAAGAAUGAGUGGGUCCCCUGUAGCAUGCAGGAUGAGCUGAGGCCUCACUCCCCUGCGGUGGAGAGGACAGAACACUCUCUCCAUCAGCAGGGAAGACAGAUUUUCCUAUUUAUUAGCCUGUUCAGCUGGCAGACACAGGGACUGUCCUCUAGGCCAUGGGGUGGGGAAGAGGGGGACAGAGCCCCACACCAGCCCCCGCUGUGUCCAUCCUCUGCCUGUGGCUGUUUGCCUGAUUGAUUUGUUUGGUGGCCUCCCUGGCUGGGAUUGGGUCCCUGUGUCCUCCUGCACAUUUGCCUCUGGUCCCUCUCUGUGUGGUCAGGAGGGGGAGCUCUAGGUGUAGGGGCGGAAGAGACUGGAACAUCUAUCCAUCACGGACUGACUCUUGGGCUUGGUAAGGAUCCUAACAACCACCGGGUCCACCUGCCACCUUGUGCUCCGGGCCCCUCCCCAGAAGCUCCCCCUGCAGUGGGAGGCUCACUGCCUCUCGCUGAGCCACUCCCAGAAAGUUCACCCUUUUCUGGAUCCCAAGUCGAGAGGCUGAGACGGGUGGAUCACCUGAAGUCAGUUCGAGACCAGCUUGGCCAACAUAGUGAAACCCCGUCUCUCCUAAAAAUACUGUAGUCCCAGCUACGGGAAGCUGAGGCAGGAGAAUUGCUUAAGCCCAGGAGGUGGAGGUUGCAAGGAGCCGAGAUUGCGCCACUGCACACCAGCCUGGCUGACAGAGAUUCCAUCUCAACAACAACAACGACAACAAAAAGCAGCGGGGAAAAUAAUACAACACAAAGCUGCUGUGGUCUGAAGGGCUUAAAACAGUACCUGGUGCAUAGUUAGUGCAAGCUUACUGAGUGUUGAGUGUUAUUACUGUCAAUGAUAAUAAUAGAAUGCCUUUGAACCCUU